rnacentral:rRNA from 1 species
CAAGUCGAACGGCACCCCUCUCCGGAGGGAAGCGAGUGGCGAACGGCUGAGUAACACGUGGAGAACCUCGCCCCCUCCCCCGGGAUAGCCGCCCGAAAGGACGGGUAAUACCGGAUACCCCCGGGCGCCGCAUGGCGCCCGGGCUAAAGCCCCGACGGGAGGGGAUGGCUCCGCGGCCCAUCAGGUAGACGGCGGGGUGACGGCCCACCAAGCCUUCGAUGGAUAGGGGUUCUGAGAGGAAGGUCCCCCACAUUGGAACUGAGACACGGUCCAAACUCCUACGGGAGGCAGCAUG